UACGUAGGGGGCUAGCGUUGUCCGGAAUCAUUGGGCGUAAAGAGCGUGUAGGCGGUCCGGUAAGUCCGCUGUGAAAGUCGGGGGCUCAACCCUCGAAUGCCGGUGGAUACUGGCGAGCUGGAGUGAUGCAGAGGUUUGUGGAAUUCCUGGUGUAACGGUGAAAUAUGUUGAUAUCAGGAGGAACACCCAUGGCGAAGGCAGCAAACUGGGCAUCAACUGACGCUGAGGCGCGAAAGCGUGGGUAGCAAACAGG
rnacentral:rRNA from 1 species